rfam:Selaginella moellendorffii unplaced genomic scaffold SELMOscaffold_55, whole genome shotgun sequence.
GCGCCUGUAGCUCAGUGGAUAGAGCGUCUGUUUCCUAAGCAGAAAGUCACAGGUUCGACCCCUGUCUGGCGCG